CCUACGGGAGGCAGCAGUGAGGAAUAUUGGUCCAUGGGCGCGAGCCUGAACCAGCCAAGUCGCGUGAGGGAGGACGGCCCUACGGGUUGUAAACCUCUUUUGCCGGGGAGCAACGGGCGCCACCUGUGGCGUCACUGAGAGUACCCGGAGAAAAAGCAUCGGCUAACUCCGUGCCAGCAGCCGCGGUAAUCCGGAGGCUGCGUGCUUUAUCCGGAUUUAUUGGGUUUAAAGGGUGCGUAGGCGGAUCGUUAAGUCAGUGUGAAAAUUUGUGGGAUAAACCCAUUCCUGCCAUUGAAACUGGCGGUCUUGAGUGGAAUAGAAGUAGGCGGAAUGCGUGGUGUAGCGGUGAAAUGCAUAGAUAUCGCGCAGAACCCCGAUUGCGAAGGCAGCAUGCCGGCUUCCGACUGACGCUGAAGCACGAAAGCGUGGGGAUCGAACAGGAUUAGAUACCCUAGUAGUC
rnacentral:rRNA from 1 species